AACAUUGCUUAGCCCUCUUCUAGGCCUUUCCAGCGCCUGGCGAUCAAUAUUCCUGCAUUCCCAGGGCACCUGCUCUUUGUGAUUAUUUGGUCGCAGUCACAUCACAGGACAACAUCUCCCUAGAGGAUGACAGUCCUUUCAGGGCCGGGCUCAGGACUGAUGCCUUUGUGUUCCCAGAGCACCUGGCACCAUGGGGUCCCGGGGCACAGGUGCCCUUCCAGCCCUGUCUCAGAGGCCUCCCGCCACCUGGCCUCCUCUCUAGAACAGAAGCUCUGCUUGGACCUCAGUCCACAGCUCAGGCUGGGAGAGAGAGGGCCCGCUCAGCAGUGAGAUCUCCCCGGAACCCAACUGCAACAGCUCAACUUUAAUCUUCCACAGUUUUUCACACCAGCGCCCUCUUCCUAACCUACUUCGUUCCGUAGGUCCCAGCUCCUAGACCGGCAGCAGAUGAUGGAGAGGAACCCAGGGCAUUUGUGCCGCUGCUGCUCUCUGCUGGCCAGAGGAGUCUCUGCAGUCCAGGCCUAGCCUCUUGCAUUUAGGUGCAGGAUGGAUGGAUCCAGAAGGACACAAAGGCAGCCAAGCCAAAGACAGUCUAUGUAUUUUAGGAUGCCCCAUCCAAGAGAGCCUGGAACCCCCUAGCCAUGUUUUCCCAGCCCGACCCCAGUACCCUGCCCAUCCAAAGCUGGCCGUUGCUGCCCCUACCUGGAAAACACCUGGCUGUUGCUAUGGUCACUGUUGUCAUGGGCAACGUUGGCAUUGGCAUUGUUGGUAUUGGCACGAGCAAGGGGGUUGGUUCUAGGAUCUUGAGGGAAAUCCUCCAAGAAGACGGGUGAUUCCAGCUCUUCCAUCUCUAUCUCAGCAAACUGGAGGGGUCUCUGGUUGGCCAUGACAGGGGGCAGGGAGUUGGUCCUUUCCAGGAAGUUGUCCACCUGGCCAAAGAGGCCUCCGGUCCUCUAGGGGCAAGGAGGAGAGCGUCAGGGCUGGGGACAGUGACUGGGGGAUGAGAGCUGAGCGUGCAUGAGGACUGCCAUCCUGGGAACGAGUGAUGGAUUAGAAGACAAAUCCCAUAAGGCCAGAGGAGAAUGGACUGGGCUAUAGGGUCAGAGAAGAGAUCAUCCCCCUUCAAUGAGUUCUCAGCUGAGUGAGGUAGACAGGACGCAUCUAGGGAACUACGUAGGAGACACAGACAACCAGAUAGGGAAAUCCCUUCUCAUGGAAAAAACACCGGAUUGGGAGUCUGGGGACCCCCUGGUUCUAGUCCCACCUCUAAAACUAACUUGCUGAGUGAUAUUAGAUAUCUCAUAUCAUCUCUUUGGGCUGCCAUUUCCUCAGGGAUAACCCAAAAAGGUUUAACUGGUUGGUCUUAAAGACCUUUUGGUUCCAUAGUGUCGUAAAAAACACCAGACAGAGCUAAGGAUUGAGGACCAGUGUAACUGGAAGCAGGCAGGGCAUGGGGUGAUGAAGGGAUUCCAAGAGGUGAAUGCCGACCGACCGGGGCUUAAGGGGCGGUGAGGACAGGCGUGAGGCUUCGUGGAGGGAGGGAGGAGGGUAUGAUUGUAUUUGACAACUGCAGUAGGUUGGGUCAUUGACUCUGAGUCCCAAGAGAUGUGGGCUGUGGGUGUCUUUGGUUUCCAAAUUCCCCACCUAUAGGGCUGGGCUCCUGGCCCUUGUUUCUCUGGGCGGUUGCUGCUCCCUGUGCCUAGAACACGUGGCACGGUCACAGCCCUCACUCACCCGGAAUAUCCCUUCCUCCAUCGCAGCCUCCACCAUGGCUCUCUCCAGCUCCUCUUCAGCUGUCAGGUCUCCUGAGAUGACGUGUAUCCUAAAUCUAUCAUGAGGAAGCAUGACAUGAAUUCAGACUGUAGGAUCCUGGUAAUAAUCUUCAAAAGGGUCAAGGUCAUGUCAAGAAAAGCUGGGGAACUAUUCUGGAUGGAAGAGUCUAAAAACUAAACGCUUUGCGUGAACCCGGAUUGGAUCCUCUUCCUACGAGGGACGUUACUGGGACAGCUGGUGAAAUUAUAUGAGGCCUGAGGAUUUGAUGAUAGGAAAGUCCCAACGUUAAUUUCCUGACUCUGGGGCUUGCCUUGCCCAGAAUCAUGGUCAUGUAGGAGAAUUAUGGAGAAUGUUCUGGGUUGAUAGAACAUUAUGUUGGGAAUUACCCUCAAAUGGUUCCGAAAAAACGGUGUUUGUCUUACACAUGCAAAUUCUAAACGCGCUGUGAGAUUAUUUUAAAGCAAAAACUCAAAAACUGCAAUUGAAAUACGUUUUUGAGCACACAG